UCCCAUCUCCACUACAUCUACACUCAACUGACCUCAUCACAAUCACCAUGGCGAUGGCAGGCCGUUCGAGGUCAUGUCUAACUCAUAUUUCACUUUAUGAAUCAUCAGCUUUUGAUCCAUCGCCUUUUAUUUGUAACCGUCACCUUCACCUUCGGAAUACACCGGCCUUCUCGUCCUUAUUACGACCUAGUUUUCUUUAAGUCUUUAUGCCGCAAUGAGAAUGAGGAGGAUAUUACUAAAUGGUACAAGAUUAAAGUUUGUGCCGAAAGUUGUGCGAAGGUCGAGAAUGAGAUAGAGUUCCAUCCGUUGUGGAGAGGACAACUUCCACUAAACGCAAGCUAUGCAGCAUUAGGCUGUGAUCUAUACUGUUUUGGUGGCGAACGUCCUUCUGCUUCUUUUGUGACUUCAUCGGAGGUUUAUAAAUUAGUCUCUAACUUUCCUAUUUCUGAUGAGAGCUGGAUUCAGAUGCCUUCUAUGAAAGUUCCAAGAGUCCGUGCUCGCAUUUUGGUACUUGAUGGUAAGAUAUAUGUUGUUGGCGGUCAUAGAUUUUUCCUACCAAGACGGGAUGAAAAACAGCAUAUUGGCGUUUCGGUUAGAAAAUUGGAAGCUCAAGCCUCGGUUGUUGAGGUCUUUGAUCCCACCACUGGAGAGUGGAAGGUCUUGCCUCCUCUUCCCAUUCCCAUUCCCUUUGAAGCAAAGUAUAUACUUGUGCAGCUCUUGAGAAUCCAAACAGGAUUCUCAUAAUUGCUUCCCUUUCAAGCACUAGUGGAGCUUUAGUCUUCUGUCAAUAUUACGUGCAGCAAGUUUGUUGGAAAAUGUUUAACAAGAAAGACAUUGAUUGUCCUCUUGGAAAAAAGCCUCUAACGGCUGCCAACAUUAAGUAUUGGCUAACCAUUGAUUCUAUUCUUGGAAAAAAGGCUAUAACGGCUGGCAACACUCUGUAUUGACUAACAGGCGACUCAAAGUUGGUUGCCUACGAUGUAGUCCAGGACGUGUGGCUUUCAGGGCAACUCAAAGGUGUGGGAAUCUCAUUUCUUGAAUACGACGAGCCCCAUCCAACUCAAAGGUGUAGUCUAAUCCAUUUAGAGGGCGAGAGGUUCGCCAUGCAUGGUGCAAUGCGAAUCUUAUACUGAUGUUGAGGUUGAGUGUGUCAUAAUAGAUGUCUAUCGGCGGCAGUCUUGUAACAGGCGUUUUGGAUUGGGAAUUUCACUGGUGUCCCUCCAUAAAUGUAAGACGGAGAAAAAUUCUUUCGUAUCGGAUUGCUUUGUACUGGGUAAGUAGAUUUCGUGGAUAAGUUAAGCAAGAAGGAAGGGGUAGUUGAUUUUGAGGAGAAGUCGAGCAAGGAGGAUGGUAUUCCCCAUUCCAUGUUCAAGACACAUAUGGCAAACUAUAGGACCCAAAAAUCUUUUGAGAAGAUCACGCUUUGUGAAAGAAACUACACAA